rnacentral:rRNA from 1 species
GUUAUAUGGUCAAGUGAAGAAGCGCAUACGGUGGAUGCCUUGGCAGUCAGAGGCGAUGAAAGACGUGGUAGCCUGCGAAAAGCUUCGGGGAGUCGGCAAACAGACUUUGAUCCGGAGAUCUCUGAAUGGGGGAACCCACCUAGGAUAACCUAGGUAUCUUGUACUGAAUCCAUAGGUGCAAGAGGCGAACCAGGGGAACUGAAACAUCUAAGUACCCUGAGGAAAAGAAAUCAACCGAGAUUCCCUUAGUAGUGGCGAGCGAACGGGGAUUAGCCCUUAAGCUUCAUUGAUUUUAGCGGAACGCUCUGGAAAGUGCGGCCAUAGUGGGUGAUAGCCCCGUACGCGAAAGGAUCUUUGAAGUGAAAUCGAGUAGGACGGAGCACGAGAAACUUUGUCUGAACAUGGGGGGACCAUCCUCCAAGGCUAAAUACUACUGACUGACCGAUAGUGAACCAGUACCGUGAGGGAAAGGCGAAAAGAACCCCGGAGAGGGGAGUGAAAUAGAACCUGAAACCGUAUGCGUACAAGCAGUGGGAGCCUACUUGUUAGGUGACUGCGUACCUUUUGUAUAAUGGGUCAGCGACUUAUAUUCAGCGGCAAGCUUAACCGUAUAGGGUAGGCGUAGCGAAAGCGAGUCUUAAUAGGGCGUUUAGUCGCUGGGUAUAGACCCGAAACCGGGCGAUCUAUCCAUGAGCAGGUUGAAGGUUAGGUAACACUGACUGGAGGACCGAACCCACUCCCGUUGAAAAGGUAGGGGAUGACUUGUGGAUCGGAGUGAAAGGCUAAUCAAGCUCGGAGAUAGCUGGUUCUCCUCGAAAGCUAUUUAGGUAGCGCCUCAUGUAUCACUCUGGGGGGUAGAGCACUGUUUCGGCUAGGGGGUCAUCCCGACUUACCAAACCGAUGCAAACUCCGAAUACCCAGAAGUGCCGAGCAUGGGAGACACACGGCGGGUGCUAACGUCCGUCGUGAAAAGGGAAACAACCCAGACCGCCAGCUAAGGUCCCAAAGUUGUGGUUAAGUGGUAAACGAUGUGGGAAGGCUUAGACAGCUAGGAGGUUGGCUUAGAAGCAGCCAUCCUUUAAAGAAAGCGUAAUAGCUCACUAGUCGAGUCGGCCUGCGCGGAAGAUGUAACGGGGCUCAAACCACACACCGAAGCUGCGGGUGUCACGUAAGUGACGCGGUAGAGGAGCGUUCUGUAAGCCUGUGAAGGUGAGUUGAGAAGCUUGCUGGAGGUAUCAGAAGUGCGAAUGCUGACAUGAGUAACGACAAUGGGUGUGAAAAACACCCACGCCGAAAGACCAAGGGUUCCUGCGCAACGUUAAUCGACGCAGGGUUAGUCGGUUCCUAAGGCGAGGCUGAAAAGCGUAGUCGAUGGGAAACAGGUUAAUAUUCCUGUACUUCUGGUUACUGCGAUGGAGGGACGGAGAAGGCUAGGCCAGCUUGGCGUUGGUUGUCCAAGUUUAAGGUGGUAGGCUGAAAUCUUAGGUAAAUCCGGGGUUUCAAGGCCGAGAGCUGAUGACGAGUCGUCUUUUAGAUGACGAAGUGGUUGAUGCCAUGCUUCCAAGAAAAGCUUCUAAGCUUCAGGUAACCAGGAACCGUACCCCAAACCGACACAGGUGGUCGGGUAGAGAAUACCAAGGCGCUUGAGAGAACUCGGGUGAAGGAACUAGGCAAAAUGGCACCGUAACUUCGGGAGAAGGUGCGCCGGCUAGGGUGAAGGAUUUACUCCGUAAGCUCUGGCUGGUCGAAGAUACCAGGCCGCUGCGACUGUUUAUUAAAAACACAGCACUCUGCAAACACGAAAGUGGACGUAUAGGGUGUGACGCCUGCCCGGUGCCGGAAGGUUAAUUGAUGGGGUUAGCGCAAGCGAAGCUUUUGAUCGAAGCCCCGGUAAACGGCGGCCGUAACUAUAACGGUCCUAAGGUAGCGAAAUUCCUUGUCGGGUAAGUUCCGACCUGCACGAAUGGCGUAACGAUGGCGGCGCUGUCUCCACCCGAGACUCAGUGAAAUUGAAAUCGCUGUGAAGAUGCAGUGUAUCCGCGGCUAGACGGAAAGACCCCGUGAACCUUUACUGUAGCUUUGCACUGGACUUUGAGCCUGCUUGUGUAGGAUAGGUGGGAGGCUUUGAAGCGUGGACGCCAGUUCGCGUGGAGCCAUCCUUGAAAUACCACCCUGGCAUGCUUGAGGUUCUAACUCUGGUCCGUGAUCCGGAUCGAGGACAGUGUAUGGUGGGCAGUUUGACUGGGGCGGUCUCCUCCUAAAGAGUAACGGAGGAGUACGAAGGUGCGCUCAGACCGGUCGGAAAUCGGUCGCAGAGUAUAAAGGCAAAAGCGCGCUUGACUGCGAGACAGACACGUCGAGCAGGUACGAAAGUAGGUCUUAGUGAUCCGGUGGUUCUGUAUGGAAGGGCCAUCGCUCAACGGAUAAAAGGUACUCCGGGGAUAACAGGCUGAUACCGCCCAAGAGUUCAUAUCGACGGCGGUGUUUGGCACCUCGAUGUCGGCUCAUCACAUCCUGGGGCUGAAGCCGGUCCCAAGGGUAUGGCUGUUCGCCAUUUAAAGUGGUACGCGAGCUGGGUUUAGAACGUCGUGAGACAGUUCGGUCCCUAUCUGCCGUGGACGUUUGAGAUUUGAGAGGGGCUGCUCCUAGUACGAGAGGACCGGAGUGGACGAACCUCUGGUGUUCCGGUUGUCACGCCAGUGGCAUUGCCGGGUAGCUAUGUUCGGAAAAGAUAACCGCUGAAAGCAUCUAAGCGGGAAACUUGCCUCAAGAUGAGAUCUCACUGGGAACUUGAUUCCCCUGAAGGGCCGUCGAAGACUACGACGUUGAUAGGCUGGGUGUGUAAGCGUUGUGAGGCGUUGAGCUAACCAGUACUAAUUGCCCGUGAGGCUUGACCAUAUAACACCCAAACA